GUCCACGUAAGGAAGCUCGCUGUAGCCCUCUCGUGCGUGUUCGUACAGGAGGUUCCGAACUCGUUUCUCUGUAGCGAAAUUCCUCCUUGGGUUCUGGUUGCACACGCUGCGUCCUCGGGACCGGAGCCCCUGGCGGGCCAGGAAAGGCCACAAGAGCCGUGCCAUGGACGCAGCCAUCUUGGAUUGGAAACCAGAAGUCACUCAUCAUGGACGAGCCAAUUAGACGCGCCAGGAGAUUUCCCGCCCAGGCUUCAGAAACCCUUCCAAUGAGGAAAAUUGAACUCAAAUAGAACCUGUCAUGGUCCAAUCGCCAUCCUUAUCCCGCCCCUUCAAGUGACGCAGGAAAGAUGUAGCCAACCACUAAAAAGAAACUCCGGAAGGGGCUGGAGAGAGGAGUUGGUGUGUGUACGACCCCGCUAGGUUGGUGAGGGACGCAGCAGGCGGCGCAAUGCCUUGGCCCAGCCUCCUUUCUGGCCUCACCACUUCCCUCAGUCGUGGCCUAGCCCUAGCUCCCCAGCUCUGGGCCACCCGAUCCAUGACCACCCUGAACCAGAUGCACCGCCUAGGCCGCCCGAAGGAACCCCCUAAGCGUCUGGGCCCCACCGAGGGCCGGCCCCAGGUCAAGGGUGUGGUGUUGCGCACAUUCAUCAGGAAGCCAAAGAAGCCCAACUCCGCCAACCGCAAGUGCUGCCGAGUGCGCCUCAGCACAGGCAAAGAGGCUGUCUGCUUCAUCCCCGGGGAGGGCCACACCCUGCAGGAGCACCACGUGGUCCUCGUGGAGGGGGGUCGCACCCAGGACCUGCCUGGGGUUAAACUCAAAGUUGUGAGGGGCAAAUAUGACUGCGGCCACGUGCAAAAGAAGAAAUGACCAUAAUCCACAGUGGUCUAGUACUCGAUCCUUGGAAACUGGCACUUCCUGCUCCAGGGGCAGCUGGUCUCAGGCUCAGAUCUCACUGUGACCCAGCAAGACUGCUACUGACCUACAGGAGUUCUGAAGAUACCUGUCAGCUGGGGACUACAAAGUCACCUCUGGUUUUAACACCAUCCAGAAGAAGGCAGUGUAUUCCGGAAGUCCCACCCAGACUGGUCAGCCAGGACAGACGGAUCCUGACCCGUACACUGGAGUGAGUCACAAGGGCACCGUAGUGUCCUACCCAGGAACGAGUGUCUCUUCCAUACUGCUCAAAAGACACAUACCGGAUGCCCUUGCCAAGGUCAGUGAAGACAUGAGAGACCUGUGGGACAGGAAACAGACAGAGCGAGGCUGGCGGACAGCAGGGAGGUCACCAGUGAAAGGAGGGGCUAGGUGCUGAAGACCUAGUGUGCACAAGGGCAGUGGGCGUUCUCCAGGAGGGAGGCAGGUAAGUGUGAAAAUGAACAAGGGAACUCCUCAUGGGGGUGAUGUUGGAGGAGAGAUCAGAGGCCUGGGAGCCAUGUGAGGUUCUGGAAAAAGCGUUGCAUAUGAUAAACAGUUGCAAAGACUCUGAGGUAAGAGUGCCUGCAGCAGCCUGAGGGGAGAGUAGAAGUGGGCUCGGUAAUGAGACCAUGUGGGGCUUUAGGGGACAGGAUGAGCCAAAACCUUGGCACCUCUCAAUUUUAUCUCCAUUCGUUUGUUACUGAUUGAUUGAGAGAGGUUGGGGACUACAAAGUCACCUCUGGUUUUAACACCCUCCAAUAGAAGGCAGUGUAUUCCGAAAGUCCCACCCAGACUGGUCAGCCAGGACAGACGGAUCCUGACCCGUACACUGGAGUGAGUCACAAGGGCACCGUAGUGUCCUACCUGCAGGCCUGCCUGGCCUCAGACUCACAAAGAUCUAUCUGACUCUCUCUCCAGCACCUCUCCAGUGCUGGAAUUAAAAGGCCUGCGCUGCCACUUAUUGAAACAGAGUUUCAGGUAGCUCAGGCUGGCCAUGAACUCCUGAUCCUCCCACCUCAGUCUCCUAAGUGCUGUGAUCUGAAGUGUGUACAAUCAGGCCUGGCUCCUGCAUGUUUUUGUGAGAUUUAAGGCCACUCAGGCUUUCUGUGCCUCAACUUCUCAGUUGCCUGUUAGGAUAGUAACAGGCCAAGUUCAUGCAUUACAGCACCUUUAAGGGUACCUCGAACAUAGUAGGUCUUCAAUAAAUAUUGCAUGACUGGGCCGUUGCUCUAAUAAAAUGGAUUAAUUAAUCAGUAAACAUCUUGGAACAGAGCCUAGAUGGAAUGUAAGGGCAGAGAUCUCAUCAGUGAAACCGGAAGUCAGCAGGGUGACUGUUGUGUGCAGGCACCAUGGAGCUGGCCAGGGCUGAGUGGACAGUCAGGACUCACUUGUCGGCAGCUCCUCUCCGUCCAC